GCGGGCUUGAGGAUAUAAGCCUA
rnacentral:siRNA from 1 species